rnacentral:SRP_RNA from 2 species
GCUGGGCGUGGUGGCGCAUGCCUGUAAUCCCAGCUACUCAGGAGGCUGAGGUGGGGGAAUCGCUUGAGCCCUGGAGGCGGAAGUUGCAGUGAGCCGAGAUCGCGCCACUGUACUCCAGCCUGGGCGACAGAGCAAGACCCCAUCUCAA